rnacentral:tRNA from 4 species
UGGGCUGUAGCCAAGCGGUAAGGCAGCGGGUUUUGAUCCCGUCAUGCGAAGGUUCGAAUCCUUCCAGCCCAGCCA